AGGCUAGGGGGUCAUCCCGACUUACCAACCCUUUGCAAACUCCGAAUACCAGUAAGUACUAUCCGGGAGACACACGGCGGGUGCUAACGUCCGUCGUGAAGAGGGAAACAACCCAGACCGCCAGCUAAGGUCCCCAAAUUCCAGUUAAGUGGGAAACGAUGUGGGAAGGCUCAGACAGCUAGGAGGUCGGCUUAGAAGCAGCCAGCCGUGAAAGAAAGCGUAAUAGCUCAGUAGUCGAGUCGGCCUGCGCGGAAGAUGUAACGGGGCUCAAACUGGAUACCGAAGCUGCGGCAGCAGACUUGUUCUGCUGGGUAGGGGAGCGUUGUGUAAGCCUGUGAAGGUGUGUUGAGAAGCAUGCUGGAGGUAUCACAAGUGCGAAUGCUGACGUGAGUAACGAUAAUGGGGGUGAAAAACCCCCACGCCGAAAGACCAAGGUUUCCUGCGCAACGCUAAUCGGCGCAGGGUGAGUCGGCCCCUAAGGCGAGGCAGAAAUGCGUAGCUGAUGGGAAACGGGUUAAUAUUCCCGUACUUCUUAUAACUGCGAUGGAGAGACGGAGAAGGCUAUGCCUACCGGGCGUUGGUUGUCCCGGGGAAAGGCUGUAGGCUGAGGUGUUAGGCAAAUCCGGCACCUUAAGGCUGAGAGUCGAGACCACUGGUCCUUUGUGACCGGGAAGUGGUUGAUGCCAUGCUUCCAGGAAAAUCUUCUAAGCUUCAGGUUAUAAGGAACCGUACCCCAAACCGACACAGGUGGUUGGGAUGAGUAUUCUAAGGCGCUUGAGAGAACUCGGGUGAAGGAACUAGGCAAAAUUGUACCGUAACUUCGGGAGAAGGUACGCCGCUGACGGUGACGAGACUUGCUCUCUGAGCUAUUGGCGGUCGCAGUGAAAAGGCCCCUGCAACUGUUUAUUAAAAACACAGCACUCUGCAAACGCGUAAGCGGACGUAUAGGGUGUGACGCCUGCCCGGUGCCGGAAGGUUAAUUGAUGGGGUUAGCUUCGGCGAAGCUCUUGAUCGAAGCCCCGGUAAAC
rnacentral:rRNA from 1 species